AUGCGGGCCCUCAGCCACCCCGACCCACAGCACUGCAGGCUCCAGGCCGGGGCGCCCACACCCCCUGUCCAGCUUCAGUCGGGGGCCCCGCUGCUGCUGAGGCUGGCGGAGGAGGGGCCGCCCCGGUCGUGCCUCCGCUUCUCUGCCCCUCGGCCCCCAGCCCAGCCCCAUGGGCACCCCGUGGAGACACACCCGGCCACGGCACCCGCCUGCACCCACAUGGCCUCAGGCCGGGGCCAGGCUCCUGGGGGGUCCCACAGCCCAGGCCACACACACCUGGUCCCGCCACAGCCAGACCACAGACCAGACAUGACGUGGAGGCACACGGCCGCAACCGGCGGGACAGGAAUGACUGAAACCAGCCCCACACUCUUCCCACUGAGCCUUGGGAGCGACAGCCCAGCUGGGCACGUGGUCAUCGCCUGCCUGGUCCAGGGCUUCUUCCCGCCAGAGCCACUGAAGGUGACCUGGGGCCAGAGCGGCAAGGACGUGUCCAUCAGGAACUUCCCCCCUGCUCUGGCCGGGGAUCUGUACACCAUGACCAGCCAGCUGACCGUGCCUGCCAGCCAGUGCCCAGACACCGAGUCUGUGAAAUGCCAAGUGCAGCACCUCUCCAAAUCCAGCAAAGCCGUGGACGUGCCCUGCAAAGUUCCAACUAUGCCGUGUCCGUGCAAGCCCAGGCUGACCCUGUACCCACCGGCCCUUGAGGACUUGCUCCUGGGCUCCAAUGCCAGCCUCACGUGUACGCUGAGUGGCCUGAGAGACCCCAACGGCGCCACCUUCACCUGGAACCCAACAGAUGGGAAGAACGCCAUCCAGGAGCUGCCCAAGCCUGACACCUGCGGCUGCUUCAGCGUGUCCAGCGUCCUGCCGGGCUGCACCGAUCCCUGGAAAAAGGGACAGUCCUUCUCCUGCACCGCCACCCACCCCGAGUCCAAGGGCCCGCUAACCAACACCAUCAAGAAAGCCCCAGAAAACAAGUUCCGGCCACAGGUCCACCUGCUGCCGCCGCCGUCGGAGGAGCUGGCCCUCAAUGAGCUGGUGACGCUGACAUGCCUGGUGCGGGGUUUCAGCCCCAAGGACGUGCUGCUGCGGUGGCUGCAGGGGAAUCAGGAGCUGCCCCGCGAGAAGUACCUGACCUGGAGCCCCCUGCUUGAGCCCAACCAGAGUGUGCCCACCUUCGCCGUGACCAGCGUGCUACGCGUGGACGCCGAGGUCUGGAAGCAGGGGGAGUCCUUCUCCUGCAUGGUGGGCCAUGAGUCCCUGCCCAUGGCCUUCACCCAGAAGACCAUCGACCGCCUGGCGGGUAAACCCACCCACGUGAACGUGUCCGUGGUCAUGUCGGAGGUGGACGGCGUCUGCUACUGAGCCGUGCCCCCGCCCCACCCGCUCCUUGAAUAAACUCCAUGCUCGCCUG